AAAACCACCUCCACAGCCAAUUUUCAGGUGUGGCCAUUUUUUUUUCUAAUCCCAAGACCUGUUAUGCAACAUGUCUUAUAGCUGCAAUGCAUUGUGGUCUGGGUAGUCUGGCUACUGUUACUGUCACUGAUGCCUCUCAAACAAUUCACUGUGAAACGUCAGAGCAGAAUGGCGCGGCUGGAAACAAUACCUUUCCCUUUGUUUGUGACGUGGCACUGAUGCCAGAAUAACCCUGUGUUUGGUCGCUCACAUGCACGGUGUUGUCCUGGAAAUAUCUCCAUGUUUGAGAGUGUUGUUUCUGUUUGGCAGUUACACUCAAGGAUAAGAAAGGACACCACAGCAGAACAAAAUGGGUCCAGAAGUUAACGGUUUUAAUGUACGAUGACUGAUGCAAAAUUCACAAGAAGGUUAUCUCAAAGUUUGUAUAACUUAUUUUUCUGUUGCUGCGUGAUGGUUGACUGAUCAUUUUCUCAGAAACUGUUCAUCUUCAAGUUUAAAUUUUGCCAUUUUUGAACUAUACAAGUCUCAAG